rnacentral:rRNA from 1 species
AUUGAACGCUGGCGGCAGGCUUAACACAUGCAAGUCGAACGAGUGGCGGACGGGUGAGUAAUGCUUGAGAAUCUAGCUUAUGGAGGGGGAUACCUACGGGAAACUGUAGCAAAUACCGCGAACAUUAGGAUGGGCCCAAUUGGGAUUAGGUGGUUGGUGAGGUAAAGGCUCACCAAGCCGACGACCUCUAGCUGGUCUGGGAGGAUGACCAGCCACACGGGGACUGAGACACGGCCCAGACUCCUACGGGAGGCAGCAGUGGGGAAUAUUGCGCAAUGGGGGCAACCUGACGCAGCCAUGCCGCGUGAAUGAAGAAGGCCUUCGGGUUGUAAAGUUCUUUCGGUAGCGAGGCGUUAACUACAGAAGAAGCACCGGCUAACUCCGUGCCAGCCGCGGUAAUAC